rnacentral:sRNA from 1 species
CAAGCGGUGAUUUAAGUUGUCACUUCUGAACAUCCGUAUUGUCAUAUAUGCCACACACCCUACCUUGAGCCCAGUGUCGACAUGCACCUUGUUUGGGUCUUCAACUAAUCCCAAACUGGGGAUUGCAGCUGUUUUCAGAAAUCGAGUCAGCAGCCCAAGGUCUCAAAAAUAGCUAUGAGCUAUUUUCUUUUCUUUUCUUUUCUUUUAAUAGAAAUGGGUCCUCGCUGUGUUGCUCAGGCUGAUCUCGAGCUUCUGCCUUCAAGCGAUCCUCCCGCCUUGGCCUUCCAAAGUGCUGGGAUUACAGGCGUGAGGCCUGGGCCUAUAAUAGUUUUUUGAUUGCUGGUAAUUAUUUCGGAGGCACACGGAGGCUCUACCUGGUCUCUAAAAUGUUACUCCACCAGUUCCCAUAAGCCAGAAAUUAUAAAAAUAGAGCUUAAGACCUUUUGCCCUUCAACAAUAUCCAUUUUUCCCUGGGAGUGGUGACAAGUCGAGGGAUCUUUACCCAUAAUAUUUAUCUUUUCCUGAGAGCAUCUCCUGAGAGAUUUCCUGCUCUCAGGAAAAGAUAAUUAUUACGGGUUAUGUUUGAGAGUAAAAAGAGCACGAAAGCUAAUGGUUAGAUAGAAAGGAGAGCUGUGGUCAACAAGAGGACAUACUUCUACUGCCUCACAGUUUUUUUUUUACAAGGCUAGCCUUGUCUCUCAGUAUUCAGAUUCCACAAUGGUGAACUGCGGAAGCACCUAGCUAGAGAUUUCCACGUCAUUUAAUUUUCAUGACAACCCAGUACAGUAUAUCCAUCCUUUUUUUUACAAAUUAAAAAUCAAGCAAAUACGUUAUGUAAUUUAUGAUCAUACUGACAUAAGUGAACUCUCAACUGAGCAAUAGUCAGACCUAAGAUCAAAUCUCACAGCUGUCACUAACUAGUUGAUUGACCUUAGGAAAUUUACUUAUCCAUCUUCAUUUGUCAUAAUAUGGAAAUAAGACCUACUUAUUGGUAUUGUCAUAGAGAUUAGGUGAGAUAAUGUAUAAAAAGAGUCGUCUAGAAUGUAUGUAAUAGGAGCACAGUAACUUGUCUUUCUUCUUUUCUCCAGUAAAGGGAGAAGCCAAGAUUUCGAUUCAUGUCUUGACUUCCAACAUGAGGUCUACACAUUUUUCAGCUUUUGGUUGAAAUCUGGCAAAGCUUAGGAAUUAAAUUUGGAUUCUUUCUGUGGGCAGACAUCUAAAAAGGCUUUGUAGAGACGUUGACUGACUGCUCUGUAAGGCUUCUUAAGUUGCUUGGUUAUCUGCUUGCUUCUGUAACAGGCUGUGCAUUUUAGGUUCGUGUACUCUUAAAUAUUUGGAAACUGUUGGCCUGCCUCACUGUCUAAUUGUGGCUCUAAUUAUAUUCAUCCUAGCUGUCUUGGGCUGCAUUAAUGAGACCAAAAUGUAAUUUUAUUCAAGAGUUUAAUUCACUGAUGACCAACUCUGAAAUAGUGAUCAUAGGAGACUAGGAUAUUAGGGCUACUUUUUAAUUUAAGGCUGAUAUAACAGGGAAGCCCACCCUUCAACACUCUGUUCUUUGAGAGUAGGGUUAAGAGACAGGUUAAUAAUGCUGAUAACAGCUAGCACUUAUUAGGGUUCUAGUAUGUGUAAGGCACUAAGCACUUUAUAUACAUUAUUUCAUUUAUUUCAUCCUAACAACAAUUAUGAAUAUCCCUAUUUACAGAAAAGGAAACCUAGGCACAGAUAUUACAGGGUUGUCCCAAUACCACAGCUAGGGAAUGGCAAUGUCAAGAUUCAGACCUUAGCAGAUGAAUGUCAGAACCCACAUUCUUAACCAUUAGGCCAGAAGGUUAGGCCUCAGAACAGUUAGGCACAACCAUCCAAGCAGUCAGAAUCCAAGAUUGGGUGAUUCCAAAUUAAUGGAGAAAAAGUCUAUUGAACUGGUCAUGUUACUCCCUUAUUUGAAUAGCAUAUUAAAAAAGUAUUUCAGACUUUUCCCCCUCCCCUAAGGGGGAUACGUUGCUGCACUAUGACAUACUUAUUGUUUCCAGCCUGCAAAAACUGUCCUUUUAUACUUUUUCUCCCCGUAGUCUACACUCCCUUUCCAUCGCUCUAAAUUCCUUCAAUACUUACUCUUUAUCUUCAUAAAAACUUUUCUGAAAUUUUACUUUAUAUAAGGAAUUUAAUUACAUUGUGAUUUUGUUUUGCAGUCACCAUUACUUUAAGUACUGCAAAAUCUCAGCAUUGGCUCUGCUGAAGAUGGUGAUGCAUGCCAGAUCGGGAGGCAACUUGGAAGUGAUGGGUCUGAUGCUAGGAAAGGUGGAUGGUGAAACCAUGAUCAUUAUGGACAGUUUUGCUUUGCCUGUGGAGGGCACUGAAACCCGAGUAAAUGCUCAGGCUGCUGCAUAUGAAUACAUGGCUGCAUACAUAGAAAAUGCGAAACAGGUUGGCCGCCUUGAAAAUGCAAUCGGGUGGUAUCAUAGCCACCCUGGCUAUGGCUGCUGGCUUUCUGGGAUUGAUGUUAGUACUCAGAUGCUCAAUCAGCAGUUCCAGGAACCAUUUGUAGCAGUGGUGAUUGAUCCAACAAGAACAAUAUCCGCAGGGAAAGUGAAUCUUGGCGCCUUUAGGACAUACCCAAAGGGCUACAAACCUCCUGAUGAAGGACCUUCUGAGUACCAGACUAUUCCACUUAAUAAAAUAGAAGAUUUUGGUGUACACUGCAAACAAUAUUAUGCCUUAGAAGUCUCAUAUUUCAAAUCCUCUUUGGAUCGCAAAUUGCUUGAGCUGUUGUGGAAUAAAUACUGGGUGAAUACGUUGAGUUCUUCUAGCUUGCUUACUAAUGCAGACUAUACCACUGGUCAGGUCUUUGAUUUGUCUGAAAAGUUAGAGCAGUCAGAAGCCCAGCUGGGACGAGGGAGUUUCAUGUUGGGUUUAGAAACGCAUGACCGAAAAUCAGAAGACAAACUUGCCAAAGCUACGAGAGACAGGUAAGAGUAAAUCUAUAAGAUUCCUGUUGCCCCUAACUCUUUUUCUUUCAAAAUUUGCAAACAAUAGUAGUAUUCAGAUUCCUUAUGGCUCAACUUAGUUACAACUUAGAAUGGUACCUGAAUAUUAACUUCUUGGAAACUUUAGGAGUUGUCAGACACAAGUUUUAACUUUGAAAAUUUAGGAUACCUCAGGUAAGAACAUGAAAAGGCUUAAAUCAAAGUUCUAAGCAGUGUUACGGAACACUCCCAGUCACCUUUUCUAGGUUCAACUAGAAAGUGUGACAAAACCAGCCCUUAAGUGGAUCUUUAAAGUGUGUGUGUGUGUGUGUAUGUGUGUGUAACUAGGAUUUCUUUUUUUUUUGAGACAGAAUCUCGCUCUGUCACCCAGGCUGGAGUGCAAUGGCAUGAUCUUGGCUCACUGCAACCUCCGCCUACCGGGUUCAAGCGAUUCUCCCGCCUCAGCCUCCCAAGUAACUGGGAAUAUAGGCACCUGCCAUCAUGCCUGAAUAAUUUUUUUGUAUUUUUUGUAGAGAUGGGGUUUCACCAUGUUGACCAGGCUGGUCUUGAACUCCUGACCUCAGGUGAUCUGCCCACCUGGGCCUCCCAAAGUGCUGGGAUUACAGGCAUGAACCACCGCACCCGGCCAAAAUUAGGAUUUCUUAAAUUUACAAGAUGUUAAUAUUCAGAUAUUACAGAAGUGAUUGUCUCUCUCUUAAAUUGUGCUUCUAAAACAGUAAUUUAGUAUCCCAAAUUUUACUACCAAAGAUUUUAUUAGGAACAAAUUUGGGAUGUGUUCUUUAAUAACUUAUGAAAUAAUUAUGUGGACCUUCAGAUAUAUAGGCUAUACAAAGUUGCAAAGAUUAAUAACAUUUACUUGCACAGAAAUUUGAAUUUUAGGCCGGGCACAGUGGUUCACACCUGUGAUCCCAGCACUUUGGGAGGCCAAGGCAGGCAGAUCACCUGAGAUCAGGAGUUCAAGACCAGCCUGGCCAACAUGGUGAAACCCCAUCUUUACUAAAAAUACAAAAAUUAACCGGGCGUGGUGGCGGGCACCUGUAAUCCCAGCUAUUCGGGAGGCUGAGGCAGAAGCAUCACCUCCACCCAGGAGGCAGAGAUUGCAGUGAGCCAAGAUGGCGCCAUUGCACUCCAGCCUGGCCAACAAGAGCGAAACUCUGUCUCCAAAAAAAAAAAGAAAGAAAAGAAAUUUGAAUUGUAAUGCAAUAAUUAGGGGCAGAAAGGAAGGAAGAAACAUAUUGACUUCUAUACACAUUUAUAUGUUGGUAUCUAUUUUAAGAACUGGUUUGGUUUAUAGGGAAAAGAAGAGAAAAGAGUAGCUAAAGUGUAUCCUGGGAUUGGAGGUCAUUUUGGGUUAGCCUUAUUUCACUGCCAUCUUCUCAGUGGGUUUUUAGAAGGUAGAGCUAGUGGCCUGCAUAAAAGUUGCGUUUUUCGGCUGGGCAUGGUGACGCAUGCUUAUAAUCCCAGCCCUUUGGGAGGCCAAGGCAGGCAUAUUGCUUGAGCUCAAGAGUUCAAAACCAGCCUGGGCAACAUGGCAAAACCCCAUCUCUGCAAAAAUUUUCAAAAAAAAUUAGCUGGGCAUGGUGGCGCAGAUCUGUGGUUCCAGCUACUUAGGAGGCUGAGGCACAAGAAUCACUGGAGCCUAGGAGGCAGAGGUUGCAGUGACCCAUGAUUGUGCCAUUGCACUCCAGCCUGGGUGACAGAGUGAGACUCUGUCUCCAAAAAAAGUAUUUUUCGUUGGCAUCAGGAGUCAUUUUAGAUACUUGCUUUGAGUGUGUGUUUUGUUCAUCUGUCUUUAUGUAUGUCAUUUAUCAGUUUAUCUACAUUUAUUAAUUAUGAAGCAAAAAUUUUACUAUGGCAAUGUCUUCAAUUAUAUAAGAAAUAGAACAGAAGUAGUAAUCAAAAGUAGAGAAUUUUCCUUUUUGGGGUAGCUUUACAAGAAUUGCAUCUCUUCUGAGUAUUGGUGGGGUUUUGUCAUUUCUUUUGCCUUAUACUUUUUAUCAUUUCUAAAAUCUAAGGCCUUCACCCGCUAACCUAAGUUUGACUUCUGAUUGUUGGAGGAUGCCUGUGAUUAUUUCAGAAAAAAAGCAUAGUAUUCUUUAAAAUUAUUUGUCAAAUUAUCCUAAGUAAUAAACAAGGAAUAACAGAUUUUAAUGUAAUAUAAUAUUAGAAUCAAUCUCUAAUUACAGGUUUGUAUAAUUUUACUCACCUUCUAAAACAGAACAAUUAUAUCAAAUUUUACGUUGUCAUUCUCUUGUGAAAGUUCUAGUAAGUAAUGAAAUGGUCAAAAAGACAUGGGGAAGACUAAUAAAAUCACAAGGGAAAACUUCAGAUUGGGGUGGUUUGAGAAGUAUGAAUAAAACUAAACUCAUUGGAGUUACAUGGAUGGAUUGGGGCUGAUCUUGUGUGUUUGAAAUAGUUUUCAAUUUAUGACAUCAUGUGAUGUGUGUUUUUUUUCCAGCUGUAAAACUACCAUAGAAGCUAUCCAUGGAUUGAUGUCUCAGGUUAUUAAGGAUAAACUGUUUAAUCAAAUUAACAUCUCUUAAACAGUCUCUGAGAAGUACUUUACCUGAAAGACAGUAUGAGAAAAAUAUUCAAGUAACACUUUAAAACCAGUUACCCAAAAUCUGAUUAGAAGUAUAAGGUGCUCUGAAGUGUCCUAAAUAUUAAUAUCCUGUAAUAAAGCUCUUUAAAAUG